GACAGAGGUGCCGAGCGUUAGGCGGAAUCACUGGGCUUAAAGCGUGUGUAGGCGGAUCCGUAAGUACCUUGUGAAAUCCCACGGCUCAACCGUGGAACUGCUUGGUAUACUGCGGGUCUUGAGCCACCUAGGGGCGAGCGGAACAAGUGGUGGAGCGGUGAAAUGCGUAGAUAUCACUUGGAACGCCAAGUGGUGAAAACAGCUCGCUGGGGGUGUGCUGACGCUGAGACACGAAAGCCAGGGGAGCAAACGGG
rnacentral:rRNA from 1 species